rnacentral:rRNA from 1 species
AACUUUCAACAACGGAUCUCUUGGUUCUCGCAUCGAUGAAGAACGCAGCGAAAUGCGAUACGUAAUAUGAAUUGCAGAUAUUCGUGAAUCAUCGAAUCUUUGAACGCACAUUGCGCCCUUUGGUAUUCCAAAGGGCAUGCCUGUUUGAGCGUCA